CGGGUAAAGAUUUUCUUAACCGCCAAUAGACGGGUAGGGUGCGGGUAUAGGUCAUAUCCUACCCGUUGUGCAGCCCUAGAGGUGACCGGAAUAGACGGAAUGGACUUCGCAAACCGCGGGGCGUAAAGAGCGAAAAUGAGAGGGGCAUUUAAGUCAUUUCGACAGUUCAUCUUCCUUCUAUAAGAGAUCUUUUUCAGGACACAAAUGAAAUCGACUAGAACAAAAACAAGAACAACCUAGAAAAAGUGAGAAAUGAAAUUGCGAUUGAUUUGGGGUGGGUUUAAGCUGAUCAAGAAGACAUCUCUUUGAUUGAUUGAUUGAUCAUCUCAUAACAUCUUAAACCCACCCCAUAUCCCAAUUCCGUUUUAACACCCCACAAAACUAUAAAAUGAUGAAACCUUCAGCUCCGAUCGUCACCGCCUUAACAGAUUGUAUUUCAACUCAUUACGCUUCCAAUCGGUUUUCUAGGGUUUCCUUUCCAUCUUUCUCUCCCUCUCACGGAGAAUUCCCAAUUCGUUCUGCUACUGAAAAUGACGAACAAGAACAAGAUUAGCAACAAUCACCAAUCAAGCAACACUUCAUCAAAGAAAGGUAUUCCUAAUAUCAAUUCUGAACUUACCAAUGAAACUGAAUCAGGUACGCGAUCUCAUAAUCUUUCUUUUGGGAAUAAACAAAUAAAUGUCGUUGAAACAAAAGAUGUUGAGAUUCUAUAUUCGUGGAUUCAACAACUCCUAUUGAAAAAACCAAGAUCUUUAGGGUUCUCUGUUCAUCCAGGGUGUAAAUCCCAACUAAUCGCAUCAAUCAGUAUUCUACACAAUUCAAAUUGUAUGAUCUUUAAGGGUUUACAAGCUCUGACCGCUCUUCCUGAUGUUCUUGAUCAUUUAUUCCAAACCCUAACAAUUGAAUUCAUAGGAUAUGAAAUGGUGAGUAGAGACACAAAGGAUAGAUUUUCAACCCAGUUAGGGUGUCAAUUGGGCUCUAACUUUACAUUCCUUACUAUGAAUGAUAAAAAAAAUUAACUGGAAGUGCCCUACAAUUCAGACUUUAAGUGAGUUGGUGGAUAAUAAUCAGAAGUCAACCAAGAAACACUCCUCAACUUGGUGCAGUCUCUACUUGAGUGUUUAUGAUCUUCGCUACUCAAUUUCGACACUGCUUCUCUGCCAAGAGGCUGGAAGGGCUUAAUCAAUGUGGUGGCAUUGAGGUUCACAGAAAUAUCUGAAGGAUGGAAUAUGGAGUAUAAUGCUGCUGAGUAUUUGUUUUUUUGUUUUUAGUUAGCACUAAACUGUAAUUUUUUUUUUAGAUUUUUAGCCUUAAACACUGUAUAUUGUAAAACUCUUACUGAUAUGAUAUAUUAGGGUGGAUUCUGGUACAUGAUGAGCGCUCCUAUAGGUGCCAACCUAGUUGGGAUGUGUAGUGAUGCGUGCUGAUGCCGAAAUCACUCUUGAUUUUUAUUUGUUUAUAACCCGAUUUCAAAUAAUUUUAUCUUUUUCA